UCGCGUUACCGCGCCUGCCCAGCCCAGCCCGGCCCGUCCCCCAGGGCUGGGGGCAGCCCUUUCACCAGCGCCGGCCGGGCCCGGGGUUAAGGGAAGUGAUUCUUCCACUGUAUUCAGCACUAGUGAAGCCUUGCACAGAGUGCUGUAUCCAGUUGUGGGCACUGUACUUCAAGGAAGAUGAAAGCAAAUUAGAAAGUGGCAAGAAAAGUGAAGGCAACAAAAGUGGAGAGAUCAGCAAAAUAUUGAGAUCAGAUCACAAAAUGCUUAGAUGGAGGAGUCGAGGUGGAUGUCAUCUACUUGGAUAUUAAGAAGGCCUUCGAUACGGUAUCUCAUCCUAUUCCCAUAAACAGAUGGAGCGGCUGCCACAUAGAUGAUUACAUGGUCAGGGUAGAGAUUGUUCAUCAGGCCAUAAACCUUCUCCAUGGAGACUUUUUUCCAAUAGCAUCAUGUAGUUGCUAACCUAGGGGAAAUAUCCUGCUGACCUGAGAAUGCAGACAAAUGUAGCACUUCUAGCAGUUGUCACAGGGGAUAUCUGCUGAAAGCUGAUUGCUUGCUCGUGUUCAAAAACCGGUACUGAUUCUGACCUCAGGGCACAUGGCUGUGGAACACAGAACGUCCAGAAAGUCUUCAUGGCAGGCAAUAAAUAUGUGGAUGAGGACAACUGUGACCUGUCACCCUGGGCAGUAAAAUCCUGCUCUAAGGCCAGAAUAGCUCAGAAGGGAGGGCAGUGGGAAAUGCUGCAUUAUGGGAUACCUGGAGGACUGCCUGGCCCACUUGUCAUUGGACACUGCAGUGGUGAUAAAUGUACAGAGGUCCUUUGAGAUGUUCUGACAAUUUCCUUCCAGUAUACUUUUGGCCAGUUUUGUCAUGGUCUAGGGCCCAAGCAGUUCUGUAUACAUUAUGUCUUGGGAUAAAAAUAUUUGUCCUGCAACAAAACAUGACAAGUGCAGUGUCCGUCCGUACUCUAAAUCUCUGUUUCUUCCCACUGAAGAGAGAGUCUGCUUGGAAUAAUCCUUGUAUGUAAACUGUCUGUAGAUUCUUUUCUUGCCCAAGAAAAAGGAUCUGUGGCAGCUGUAAUAUCCUGAAAGGUCUAUGGAGGGAUCAGUGGCAUGAUUUGGCUCUUUGCCAAAUGCAUAUGCAUUUUGAAGGAAUAGGUUCUACUCUUAGUUUUAGCCAACAACAUACCUGCUGUUCAGCUGCAGUUCUAUACUGAUUUCAGGGAUCCUGGUUUUCUCUGUUAAAAAAUAGCACAUCCUCUGAUAACCCCCUUGCAAAUUCUCCAAUUAACCGCCCCCCAAAUCUGUGUUUUUCUGUGAUUGAAGUGAAACACAACUAUAUAUUUUCAAUGGGAGGCUCAUAUAAUAUCUCUCUCUAUAUGUAUAUGUAUAUGUAUAUGUAUCUACAUUAAACUCUCUGGUAACUGGCAUCUUACAAGCUGGCAUGCUCUGUUAACUGGCAUGCCAGCUUGUAAGGAAAAGUGAAACAGGAAGUGCCUACCAUGGCACUUUUGGGUUCCAUGAGCCCCCACGGCCUCGGGCAAAGAAGCCUGCGCUGCUGAGCCCCCAUGGCCCGGGGGCAUAACAGGCUGUGCGGGGCUGUGCGGGGCCUGUCUCUCUGUCCUGUGGGGCCCAGAGGGCCUGCAGGAGGGGCGGCGAUGCCACGGGAGGGGCGAGAGGGGUGGAGGGAGG